rnacentral:rRNA from 1 species
UUGCCAGACUCCUACGGGAGGCAGCAGUGAGGAAUAUUGGUCAAUGGGCGCGAGCCUGAACCAGCCAAGUCGCGUGAGGGAUGAAGGAUCUAUGGUUCUUAAACCUCUUUUAUAAGGGAAUAAAGUGCGGGACGCGUCCCGCUUCGCAUGUACCUUAUGAAUAAGGAUCGGCUAACUCCGUGCCAGCAGCCGCGGUAAUACGGAGGAUCCGAGCGUUAUCCGGAUUUAUUGGGUUUAAAGGGUGCGUAGGCGGGCUUUUAAGUCAGCGGUAAGAAUUCGGGGCUCAACCCCGUCCGGCCGUUGAAACUGGGGGCCUUGAGUGGGCGAGAAGAAGGCGGAAUGCGUGGUGUAGCGGUGAAAUGCAUAGAUAUCACGCAGAACCCCGAUUGCGAAGGCAGCCUUCCGGCGCCCUACUGACGCUGAGGCACGAAAGUGCGGGGAUCGAACAGGAUUAGAUACCCUUGUAC